rnacentral:misc_RNA from 1 species
GUGGACCUUUUUUUUUUCGCAUUUUCUAUUGUUCCUCGUGUGUCGUGCUUUUACUCAGCCCCUGUCCUUAACUUGACCACAAGGGAAUAUGUCUGAAAUAGUAGAUUACUCCGAAAGAAAAAAAAAUGAUAUUGGCAUUUUUUUAAAUAAAAAAAUUUAAUCUCUAAGGCGUUUGCUGUCUUGACUUAAAUCUUAAUCUUCCAGAAUUGGCUCUUCCAAUUUUAUCAAAUCAGG